rnacentral:rRNA from 1 species
UACGAAGGGUGCAAGCGUUAUCCGGAUUCACUGGGUUUAAAGGGUGCGUAGGCGGGCAGGUAAGUCAGUGGUGAAAUCUCCGAGCUUAACUCGGAAACUGCCGUUGAUACUAUUUGUCUUGAAUAUUGUGGAGGUAAGCGGAAUAUGUCAUGUAGCGGUGAAAUGCUUAGAUAUGACAUAGAACACCAAUUGCGAAGGCAGCUUACUACACAACGAUUGACGCUGAGGUACGAAAGCGUGGGGAUCAAACAGG